UCUAGGGAAUCAGAGCCGGGAAGUUGCAGGUGGAUGAGCCAAUAUUGUUGGGUUGGAGGUGUUUCUGUGUCCUUUGGAGAGGAGUAGAAGCCCUAAGGAAAUUUUGGGGGUGCUUGGACUCACUCGGGACCAUUUAGGGUUUGCCUGGCAAUGAAGAUGGAUAGACAGCAAGGGGAACGUACACAGUAAGAUAGCUUGGGGGGUUACUACAGAGGGCCUUUGGACAUUUUCAGUGUUGCUCGCUAGUUACUGGCGUACCGGCUGUGUCUUGGGACUUGACGCCAAACUUCUACCUCUACCCCUACCCUGGAAGUGAACGGUGGGCUCUCGUCGGUGAACAGGGAAAUGAGACGGCUCACACAGUGAUAUCACCUUGCCGGCACUCGUGGCCCAGACUGCAUCAGGAGCAACGCGGCGGCUGACAUUGGUGGUGAUGGCGCCCGAGAGGUCAGCCUGACCGUCCAGCUGGCUCCCCCCCCGGAGGAAAGCGCUGGAAUUCAUUGUCCUUCUGAUACCUCUUAGACGAAACCCAUCCGAAGUUCCCUUCUCUCGACCUUUCACAGGGUUCCCAAAUGUCUGAACCUGUCUGUCCAGUGCAUGCUUAGCUCUGCCCCAUUCCUGGAAGGUCACUGCUCUUUCUUUAUUUUUACCCAAUCCUUUUUUUUUUCUUUUGUGUGCCUGCUCAAUUUGAUGUCUUUAUCUGCAAAAAUCUUGCCAUCAGUGAACUGUCAGAACAUCACAGUUAGCUCUGUUGCUUGCGAAAGUUGCGGUGACGCUCCUGGUUGGAUGCGCAAAACGAAUACUGGACGUUUCUGUCUCUUUGCAGUAAUGCAGCAUGUCUGUCAUGUUGGCCGAGAUCACAAUUCAUUCCAAAGGGCAGGUAGGCAGAAAAGAAUCCAUUUUUAUUAACUCAUAAGCAGAGCUUUAGAAAAGCAAUUUCAUGCUUGAGGGAAUGGACCUGGAAUCUGGCAUUGUCCCGGUGAUUAAUUCCGCUUUUUCAAGAACAAAAGAGGAACAGGUAAGGAAAUUAAUUAUCCAGCCAAAAUGUAAAUGCAGCAAUGUCUGCUGGGCAGCGGUUAGCAUGGAUAGUAGGUCUGCCCGAGAUAGCUUUGGCUUUUGUGAGAAAAGGCCAUUUGGCUGUGGAGAGUGAGAGAGAGAGAUUCAGACAGAGAGAGAGAGAGAGAGAGGGAGUGAGAGAGAGAUACAAAGAGACAGAUACAGAUACAGAGAGAGGGAGGCAGUACAAAGGCAUCUGCUGGUCCAAAGUAAUGAAGAAAUUAUUAUUCUCUCUCUGGCCAUGAUGAAUUUUUCACAAAAAUCCUGAAAUGAAAUAUGGAUCCUGUGCAUCUUAGCCAAAACAGUUUUAUUUGCUUUUAUCUUGUCACUUGUACAUUUAUAAAGAUGUACUAGUAUUUAUAAAUGAAUACAUUUGCUCUUCAUUUCAUCAAUCUAGAUAUUCAACCUCGUGUCUAACUCUAGUGAAUUAAUGUUCUUUGUUAUCAAACCACCAUAUGCUUGUCUCCAUACCACUGAGUACAAUGCAUGCAAAACUUAUUUUGUUUUGUACACUUCAUGACUUCAUUGAAUGUUGAAAUUAAGGGAAAAGAUGCAUGAGCAGCAGAUAAAUAUCUUUAACUUGAAGACUGUAAAGUACUCUAAAGUACAUUGCAAGCACUCCAGCGAGCUCUUUGUCAGCAGUGGAGUAUGGGGUGGAAUACAUGCAUCUGCACUAUAAGUGGGGUAAAUGCUUGUUGAAUUAUUUUUAAUGCCAUGACAUGAUGAGAAAACGGCCACAUAAGGACAUACUAAAAUACAUUUUCAAUUUUUUCUCUAAUUUAUGUGUGUUGACAGUAUCAUACAGUAUUUUGUCAAUAUACUAUUCAAAAUGUGUUAUGUUUGUGGAAAUGUAAUUUUUUUCUAAAAGGUUUUGUUAAAUAUUUUAUAUUUGUCAUUUACCAGAGGAACUGGGUAGAUGGCUUUGCAAAUUAGAUUUUUGUUCAAGUCCAAUCUUCUUAUGUUCUUCUGGUGUUCUCUAAAACAGCUGUCGUAGUGCAGCUUUGUCUUUUUGCUGUGGAAAAAGGUGUGUUUGAGGAUGAUUAAAGUAAAUCAUGAAAAUGAUAAAAUAAAUAAUCUGAUUGCCAUUCUCGCGAUGAAA